rnacentral:rRNA from 1 species
UACAGAGGGUGCGAGCGUUGUUCGAAAUCAUUGGGCGUAAAGCGCGUGUAGGCGGCAUGGAAAGUCUGAUGUGAAAUUCCUCGGCUCAACCGGGGAGGGUCAUUGGAUACUUCCAUGCUUGAGUGCCGGAGAGGGUGAUAGAAUUCCUGGUGUAGUGGUGAAAUACGUUGAUAUCAGGAGGAAUACCAGAGGCGAAGGCGGUCACCUGGACGGUCACUGACGCUGAGACGCGAAGGUAUGGGUAGCAAACAGG